AGGCUGUUGCUGAUAUUAUCCGCACCACCUUGGGCCCAAGGUCCAUGUUGAAGAUGCUACUUGAUGCUAGUGGAGAGAACAUGAAGAAUUGGUUAGAAAAUAUUCAUCUAAGACGGAGUUGACAAGGUUGGAAUAAAGGAAUCAUAGAUAAUAUCUAAAA